GGAGGAGUGGUGGGAACCACCCUUUAGAAGAGGACGUACUGAUUAGAAAGGAGCUGGGAAGAAUACAGCUGCCUGAAAGCUGACAAGCCCUAGAGAUGGUCUCCCUUUAUUUCUCUUCCAUAGCUGCUGGUUUUCCCGAGGAUGACUCUGGCUGCCCUGACAGCCCCACCACAGGGGACAGCAGCAUUUAUUUGACUUGACUAGGAUUGGAACUUCCAGUGAUCUACAAUCUCCAUAUGAUCUCUGUUUCUACAAGGAAGCACCUUCUCCAUGAAUAUUAUGCACUUAGUUAAACUGAGCCAUGGAAAGCCAAUCAUUCAUUCAACAAAUAUGUACAGAGUGUCAAUAAUGUACCAGGCAAGAAACAAGGAGCUGCGCUCUUUCUUCAAGGAAUCCAUAGUUCUAUCAGUAGAAGGAAUAAAAUAUUCUAAGUGUCUUUGUAGUAGAUUGAAUUAUCAUUUCACAAAUAUUCCCUCUCCCGUCUCACUCUCCUCUUCCCUGCCCCAUUGAUUUAGGACCUGACUAUGUAAAAUACUUUGGCCCAUAAAAUGUGGGCAGAAAUGAUAACAUGCCAGUUUCAAGUGAAGC
rnacentral:lncRNA from 1 species